ACCGAAAGGUAUGCUAAUACGGGAUAAUAUAUUUGAGAGGCAUCUCUUAAAUAUCAAAGGUGAACCAGUACAGGAUGGACCCGCGUCUGAUUAGCUAGUUGGUAAGGUAACGGCUUACCAAGGCGACGAUCAGUAGCCGACCUGAGAGGGUGAUCGGCCACAUUGGAACUGAGACACGGUCCAAACUCCUACGGGAGGCAGCAGUGGGGAAUAUUGCACAAUGGGCGAAAGCCUGAUGCAGCAACGCCGCGUGAGUGAUGAAGGCCUUCGGGUCGUAAAACUCCGUCCUCAAGGAAGAUAAUGACGGUACUUGAGGAGGAAGCCCCGGCUAACUACGUGCCAGCAGCCGCGGUAAUACGUAGGGGGCUAGCGUUAUCCGGAUUUACUGGGCGUAAAGGGUGCGUAGGCGGUCUUUCAAGUCAGGAGUGAAAGGCUACGGCUCAACCGUAGUAAGCUCUUGAAACUGGGAGACUUGAGUGCAGGAGAGGAGAGUGGAAUUCCUAGUGUAGCGGUGAAAUGCGUAGAUAUUAGGAGGAACACCAGUUGCGAAGGCGGCUCUCUGGACUGUAACUGACGCUGAGGCACGAAAGCGUGGGGAGCAAACAGGAUUAGAUACCCUGGUAGUCCACGCUGUAAACGAAGAGUACUAGGUGUCGGGGGUUACCCCCUUCGGUGCCGCAGCUAACG
rnacentral:rRNA from 1 species